CCGCACAAGUUCGUCGGGAAAUCCACUCGCUUAACGAGUGGGCGUCCGGCGAAAACUGUGCGGCUUGGGACCGGAAGAUCCAAGGGGUACGUCCGGGGUAGGAGUGAAAUCCCGUAAUCCUGGACGGACCACCGAUGGCGAAAGCACCUUGGAAGGACGGAUCCGACAGUGAGGGACGAAAGCUAGGGUCUCGAACCGGAUUAGAUACCCGGGUAGUCCUGGCCGUAAACGAUGUCUGCUAGGUGUGGCUCCCACUACGAGUGGGUGCUGUGCCGCAGGGAAGCCGCUAAACAGACCGCUUGGGAAGUACGUCCGCAAGGAUGAAACUUAAAGGAAUUGGCGGGGGAGCACUACAACCGGAGGAGCCUGCGGUUUAAUUGGACUCAACGCCGGACAUCUCACCAGCUCCGACUACGGUAAUGACGGUCAGGUUGAUGACCUCACCACGAGCCGUAGAGAGGAGGUGCAUGGCCGCCGUCAGCUCGUACCGUGAGGCGUCCUGUUAAGUCAGGCAACGAGCGAGACCCGCACUCCUAAUUGCCAGCAGCAGUCUCGACUGGCUGGGUACAUUAGGAGGACUGCCAGUGCCAAACUGGAGGAAGGAACGGGCAACGGUAGGUCAGUAUGCCCCGAAUGGGCUGGGCUACACGCGGGCUACAAUGGCCGGGACAAUGGGUCGCCACCUCGAAAGAGGGCGCUAAUCUCAGAAACCCGGUCGUAGUUCGGACUGAGGGCUGAAACUCGCCC
rnacentral:rRNA from 1 species